GUUAAAGUUUUGCGAAGCCAGGGGGCGGGGUUACUUGAUUGACAAUCCGGUCUGGAAUGAUUGACAGGUCCUAUGGAGGAGGCUGCAGAGACACUGCUCUCCUCGUUUGGAUUAAUUCUGAUAUAAUAACUGUUGGUUUAUUUAUCGUUGCAGCAGCAGAACAUUUUCCACAGACAGUUUUCCUGCCCGCUGGCUUGUUUUAACCAGUUUUCUACCUUCGGCUGAUUCUACCAGCAGACACUGAAAGGACUCUGAUAGUUCGAGUGAAAGUAGCAGUUCCUCCUUAAGGUCAGACAUUGCAGCAUCUGAGGUUCUCUUCAAAAGAAGACAUAGUUGAUGAAGGCAUUCUGGAGCACGACCAGAAAGACCACGACCAAGCAGCCUUGAGAUCUUAGGCAGCGUCUCCCUCAGGUCCCUCUCUAUCUCCCCACACAUCCACCAACCACUGGAACACAUCUCCAAAGUUCUGCCAGGCCAGCUCAGCUUCCCCUCAGAAGAAGUGCUGCCACCUGCCAGAUGAAGGAGCCUUUCGAGAGGCAGCCGGCAUCGUGAUUGGACUGUACUUUGGUCUGUUCCAAUCCAGCUUCAGCUCCAGAGACGGCAGGCGGGACAAGUCAACGGAGGCCGGGUGGACGAAGGCAUGCAGCUGAGUACAAUCCAGAAAACAAUAGAGGAGGAGUGCAGCAGCCCAGGGCCAGAACAACCAGAGUAGCAUCGUAUGUCUCUUAGAAAACAUCAUAGUAUGAAAAAACACCAUCAUAUACAUCGUAUAUUGUACAUAUAACAAGUCAAAGGAAAGAGACAUACAUUGUAGAAUUGUAGUAAUUGUGGGCUGACUGAUUUACUGAUUAUCAGUGUUUUAUCAUUUACUGAUUUACGGUAAUAAAUACAUUUAAAAAUGGCGCUACUUUGGCUCUGAACCUUUAUCUACCUGUGGUCGUUCUGUCUUCUGGAGUGAUUUGAUUGGUUAUACGUCACGAAUAAAACUCCUUUAACUUAACAUCUGUAAACAAAACAAAAACGUAUCAACAAAGUUUCCUGUUAGAGUUUGUGUUCUUCUAAGUUUAACUCCAAGAUUUUAAAUAUUUUCAUUUACUGCAAAUGAAUAUCUACUCCAAAUGUCUCAGUAAUAAUCAUUAUCAGCCUUAAAAACCCACAAAACACCCCUCUAUACUCGACCACACUUAGUACAGUCCGGUUCCCCCUUCUAUAAAUCUGCUUGGAAUAGUCCACUUCCUGUUUGUCAAAGUAGCCUUCUACCUGGACAGGUUUUGUUGGAGCUCAUGCAACAAACAUUUUGGGUAACUGCACUUUAAUAUGGAUGGAUGACACUGAAUUAGAGUCUGUUUUAAUGAGACUGAGUUAAGAUGUGUAGCUGUCAUUAAAUAGUUAUUUCCCAGAAUUCACAGAGAAAAGUCUGAAAUGUUUGCUUGGUUAGCGUCCCACAUGUUCUUUGGCUCAGCUAAAGCUAACUCUCUCCAACUUCUGGAUCUCUUGAGUUGCUUGUUGUUAAAAUAUCUUGCUGUAGGUGCUGAAGCUCAGAAAGUCUGAGAUGUUUGUUCAAAAUAAGCUCAUGCUCAAGUCUUCUCUGAAUUAUCCUCUUUUGUUUGAACUUUCCCUAAACUUAGGAGUUAAUGACAGAGCAGCACAUCCAGACUCAGUCUCAUUUAUGUAGAGAUUAAACUUCAGUGUCAUUCAUUGAUGUUAAAGUGCAGUUUUUCAAAUGUUUGUUGCACAUGCUCCCGACCAAACCAGUCCAGGUGGAAGACGAUGUGAAGAGAAAGCUCCAGAGGAUGAAUAUCACACAUUUACGUUGGAAAUUAAUGUCCUUUAAUUAGACAUUGUCAUGCAAAAGUUGGAUUUCCCUUUAAUGAUAUUCAAAUUCUUGUUGAGUGUUUUGUUGAUGUUGGUUUCUAAAUGUUUUUUGACACUCGGCCCCAAAGAUUAAAACCUUCUACGGCUCACAAGCUGCAACAAUUCACACAUUAUCAACUAUCUUAAUGACUAAACUAAGAUAAAAAGUGGAAAACUGCCUGAUUCCUGCAUCAUGAAUGUAAAUCUUUUUGGUUGUUAUGACAGUAAACUGAAUAUAUUUGGGUUUGACAUUUUAUAAACCAAAACAAGAAAUGAAUUACUGGAGAAAACAAUCAACAGAUUAAUGGUCAAAGAAAAUGUAGUUUCCAACAUAUAUGGCUGAAUUACUCCAACAUUACAAGAUACAUACAAUUUUUAUUGAAUUUUAUUUAUAUAACGCCAAUUACAGGUCAAAUUGUCUCAAGACACUUUAUUUUUAUAUUUUUUUGUCAUAUUUAAAAUAUGACUAAGAAAUUUUAAACUCGACUAAUCCAAUUUAUUCGGUUUUUAAGAGACUAAUGGACAAUUAAAAUAAGUUUCUCCACUAAAACUAAUAAACAUGAGGUCAAAUAGAAGGAACAGUUUUAAAUACUGUAGUCCCACGAUGACAAGAAUAAAGUUUGUCAACAAAAACUAAAUCUGCUGGUGGAUUCCAUUAAAGUCCUAAUAAAUGAUAAUAAAGUCUGAUACUAAAGGUUUGUGGUGCUAAAAAUGUCAAAGUAAAGAUAUCAAGUUGAACAUCUGGAUGGAGGUUGAUAAAAGUUGACCUUCUUUCAUUUCUCUGGAGCGACUCCAUGGAUUUUAUGGAUGGUGGUUAAAGACCUGCUCUUCUAGUCAUCGUCCUUCUUGUCGCUGUAAAAAGUCAGUCCAUCCUGGCCGACUUCAACAUCUCUUCAUGACAACUUGUCCUGCCUCGGACCUCGUGGAAACUCAAGAAACUCGGGAAAACCUGUCGAGACUCGAAGAACUCGUGGAGACUCGAAGAACUCGUCGGGCGGGGGAAGGUGUGGUGGGUGGUGGGGGAGUAGAGGGGUGGAGGCCGCCACCCACCUCCCCGCCUACUCUCCGCCCUGACUCCACCCAGACUCCGCCUUGGCUCCACCCAUGUGGUGACUUCACAAAUUACGAUGUCAAAGGGACGACGAAAUUAUUUCUUUUCAUCUGAUCUGUAGCUCAGUGAGUUAAGGAUUUACCUGUGGAGCUGCAGGUCGCUGGUUCAAGACCAGACC